UACGGAGGAUGCAAGCGUUAUCCGGAAUCAUUGGGCGUAAAGCGUCCGCAGGUGGCAGUUCAAGUCUGCUGUCAAAGACUGGGGCUUAACCCUAGAAAGGCAGUGGAAACUGAACAGCUAGAGUGCGGUAGGGGUAGAGGGAAUUCCCGGUGUAGCGGUGAAAUGCGUAGAGAUCGGGAAGAACAUCGGUGGCGAAAGCGCUCUACUGGACCACAACUGACACUCAGGGACGAAAGCUAGGGGAGCGAAUGGG
rnacentral:rRNA from 1 species